AACCCAUUAAUCUAUCUUAGAAACAUUAAUUAACUAUAACUCCAAUUUAUUAAUGGUUUCUUGAACUCCCUAAGAGCUAAAACUCUUUACUUGAAGUUAACCAAACAACAAAUUUAUACUUAUAAAUUGUUCAAACACGUUUUUAUUUAUUAUACUCAAAUUAGAAAAAAAUGGCUCAAAUUUUUGCUCUGUUAAUUAUUCUUUUUCUAUUUGUUGUGGUAAACAACGAAAAACUUCCUUGUAAAAGACAUAAUGAUUGUCCAAGUACUAUGUGUAACUGGCCUAUGGUUGCGAGGUGCAUUAAUUAUUUUUGUCAGUGUGGAAUUAAUAAUUUUUAAGUAUACAUUUAUUAGUAAAAUAUAAUUAUAUAAUUAUAUUGUACUAAUAAAUGCAUACUUUAUUUGUACAUAAUAAUUUCUUGCACAUUUUGAUAUAUGUUUCUCUUACGGUUUCAA